AGAGUUUGAUCCUGGCUCAGAGCGAACGCUGGCGGCAGGCUUAACACAUGCAAGUCGAGCGGGCGUAGCAAUACGUCAGCGGCAGACGGGUGAGUAACGCGUGGGAACGUACCUUUUGGUUCGGAACAACCCAGGGAAACUUGGGCUAAUACCGGAUAAGCCCUUACGGGGAAAGAUUUAUCGCCGAAAGAUCGGCCCGCGUCUGAUUAGCUAGUUGGUGAGGUAAUGGCUCACCAAGGCGACGAUCAGUAGCUGGUCUGAGAGGAUGAUCAGCCACAUUGGGACUGAGACACGGCCCAAACUCCUACGGGAGGCAGCAGUGGGGAAUAUUGGACAAUGGGCGCAAGCCUGAUCCAGCCAUGCCGCGUGAGUGAUGAAGGCCCUAGGGUUGUAAAGCUCUUUUGUGCGGGAAGAUAAUGACGGUACCGCA
rnacentral:rRNA from 1 species